rnacentral:lncRNA from 1 species
UUUUAAGUUUGGGAUUAUCUACAUGGGGACAUCAAAAAAGAGUGAAAUUCUGUUAGUUCCUAAGAUCUAACUCACAGUAAAGGACUUGACUCCAUGGGAACUUCGUCAACUCCAAAACAUUGAAGAAGCCACCCAUCAUGAGUUAGUUGUUGAAGCCACAUGAUGAUCUUCCAAGAAACCCUUUAAAUGAAUUCUUUUUGGAAAUUCUGUAACUUCUUCACAUAUAAAGAUUAAGUAAAUACUGUAUUCUGUUGUACCUAAACAAAUAAACCUCUUGCCUUGUGAUAUAAGGCA